rnacentral:misc_RNA from 1 species
CCGCUUCCACUGCCCGCACGGACGGUGUAUCGACUCGUCGUUCCUGUGCGACGGCGACGCGGACUGCCCCGACGGCGCCGACGAGGAUGCGUCCCCCACCGGCCCCUGUGGUGACUAUCUUCUCCACCGCCAAAAAAAAAAGCGAUCCUUAAGUGCUCAUAUGAAAGUGUUUUAUUAAAUAUUGUUUCUUAAAAAAAGUGACUGAAACUUUUAUAACUAAUCGUUUAUAUUGACG